rnacentral:rRNA from 1 species
AUUGAACGCUGGCGGCAGGCCUAACACAUGCAAGUCGAGCGGAUGAAGGGAGCUUGCUCCUGGAUUCAGCGGCGGACGGGUGAGUAAUGCCUAGGAAUCUGCCUGGUAGUGGGGGAUAACGUCCGGAAACGGGCGCUAAUACCGCAUACGUCCUGAGGGAGAAAGUGGGGGAUCUUCGGACCUCACGCUAUCAGAUGAGCCUAGGUCGGAUUAGCUAGUUGGUGGGGUAAAGGCCUACCAAGGCGACGAUCCGUAACUGGUCUGAGAGGAUGAUCAGUCACACUGGAACUGAGACACGGUCCAGACUCCUACGGGAGGCAGCAGUGGGGAAUAUUGGACAAUGGGCGAAAGCCUGAUCCAGCCAUGCCGCGUGUGUGAAGAAGGUCUUCGGAUUGUAAAGCACUUUAAGUUGGGAGGAAGGGCAGUAAGUUAAUACCUUGCUGUUUUGACGUUACCAACAGAAUAGGCACCGGCUAACUUCGU